rnacentral:rRNA from 1 species
UAAGGAAUAUUGCUCAAUGGGAGAAAUCCUGAAGCAGCAACGCCGCGUGGAGGAUGAAGGGUCUAUGACUUGUAAACUCCUGUAAAGAAGGAAAAAAUUCCCAUUUGAUGGGAGAUGAUGGUACUUCUGGAGUAAGCCCCGGCUAACUACGUGCCAGCAGCCGCGGUAAUACGUAGGGGGCAAGCGUUGUCCGGAUUUACUGGGUGUAAAGGGUGCUCAGGCGGAUGUGUAAGUCAGAGGUGAAAUCUUACAGCUUAACUGUGAAACUGCCUUUGAUACUGCAAGGCUAGAGUAUGGAAGAGAGUGAUGGAAUAUCUGGUGUAGCAGUGAAAUGCGUAGAUAUCAGAUAGAACACCAAUGGCGAAGGCAGUCACUUGGUCCAUUACUGACGCUAAAGCACGAAAGCGUGGGUAGCAAACA